GAGAGUCAGGCAGUUGGAGAGAUUAAAUCCAGACCGCACCAGAUACUGACUACGUGACCUUGGACAAGGUACUUAAUGUUUCUGAGUGUUUACUGCAAAGCAGAGAUCAUAAUGACCUCAUAGAAUUGUCACGAGGGUUCCAUGAGCUAAUGUAAGUGAAUCGCUGCGCACAGUGCUUGGCACAUUGUUUUUGCCAUAAAUAGCAGGUAUUGCUCACUUUUCAUUAGAAAGACAUGUGCACUGUGGAAUAAGUAAUGACAUAGAGAUCAGCAAGAAUCAGGCAAAAAAUAAGGUCAUUCUAGUUCCCCAAAAUAACUACUGAUAAUGUUCUGGUGUACGUCCUUCCAGAUUUUGAUCUCUCUGUGUGCUUUUUUUUUUUUUUUCUAACACACUACCUACAAUUGGGUUGCCCUGUCAUCUUAUUCCACCCCAAGGAAUCAACUCUGAAUUGGAUCAAGGUGGGAGUUGCAUCAUUAGCGAACGCGGACAUUUAUAAAUGGAGAGCCGUCGAUUCUAGAGGACCUUUUUGCGCGUGCAAGUUUGCAUUUCUGCACCAACCCGGAUUCUGGCACACCGUAGGCGCGCGAUACAUUUUCAGUGAAGAAGAAAAACAAAAACAAAGGGAAGGUGCCGGGCCACAGUUUGCAAGACUUCCAUUUUGUCAUGGCUGUAAGAAAGAGGAAGAAGAGAUAACCAUGAGAACAGAACCGAUAUUAGGAAUUUGGCCCCAGGAAAGAAGUUUCCAGGGAAAGUCGUAGAGUCCACAUUUUGAAAAUGGAGUCUCUUCUGCAUGGUAAAAGCACCAGUUAGGGAGAGAGAAAAUGCUGACUUCUCCCAGCCUGCAGCCGCCGGGAGGAGGGACUUUUAGAGCCAAAGGGACUUUUAGCUGAGUAAUAAAGCAAUAUCCCUCGCGAACACCACCUUCCGUCCUCCUCUCCAUGAUUGUAAAAGUGUAACAGAAUGUUCAAGGUCUCCUAGGUAUUUUACAAAAAUCACUGGAGAAAGACUGCCCCGAAUCAUCAAUUUUUAACCAGUGCUUACUGGGCAUAUUCUAAAUAAGCCAGACCUAUGUCAGUGUAAUGGUUUGUCAUGAAGGUCUGCAAUAUUUUUCCUUCUGGUGUUAGUGAUAACCGCCCGUGAACUACCCCAUGUGAGCGACACAAAAACAAUAAGAUAGUUUUUAAAAAUAUGCUGCUUCCUAAAUGACCAGGAAAAAAAAAAUCUUUGUAAAAAAAAAAAAAGUGUGAGAGUC